CUGGGGUGUGUGUGUGUGGCGUGGAGGGGGGGGGAAACCGCCUCCCUCCCGCAGGCUUAAAGGGGAAAGAGUUAGGACCCCAACGGACACUCGGUCCCUUUGGAGGGAAGGAGCCGGUGCAGCCCUCGCGAAAGCGCUGGUCCGGACUGCAAGAAUCGGGCGAUCAGGUAAUACAGUUCUGAGCGAUCGGAAAGAAAGAGGUUCAGAGGCCAAGAAGAGGCAUCGAAAAGAAAAAAAAAAUUGCCAAAGAAACUGACAACCUCCCGGAGCCCCCUCUCCCCUUCCACUCCCGACACGGCUACCCACCAGCUUCGAUCUGGGUUGUGGCUAUUGUAAACAGUGCUGCAAUGAACAUAGAAAUGCAGAUGUCAUUUCUACUAUACCUCACCACCACUUCUAUCACUCCCCCAUAUCCUCUGACUUGG